rnacentral:rRNA from 1 species
AUUGAACGCUGGCGGCAUGCUUUACACAUGCAAGUCGAACGGUAACAGGUCUUCGGAUGCUGACGAGUGGCGAACGGGUGAGUAAUGUAUCGGAACGUGCCCAGUAGUGGGGGAUAACUACUCGAAAGAGUGGCUAAUACCGCAUGAGAACUGAGGUUGAAAGCGGGGGACCUUCGGGCCUCGCGCUACUGGAGCGGCCGAUAUCAGAUUAGGUAGUUGGUGGGGUAAAGGCCUACCAAGCCGACGAUCUGUAGCUGGUCUGAGAGGACGACCAGCCACACUGGGACUGAGACACGGCCCAGACUCCUACGGGAGGCAGCAGUGGGGAAUUUUGGACAAUGGACGCAAGUCUGAUCCAGCAAUGCCGCGUGCAGGACGAAGGCCUC